rnacentral:rRNA from 1 species
GUGCCAGCCGCCGCGGUAAUACAGGGGGUGCAAACGUUGCUCGGAAUUAUUGGGCGUAAAGCGCGCGUAGGCGGCUACUUAAGUCGGAUGUGAAAGCCCUUGGCUCAACUGAGGAAGUGCACCCGAAACUGAGUGGCUUGAGUACUAAAGAGGGUCGCGGAAUUCCCGGUGUAGAGGUGAAAUUCGUAGAUAUCGGGAGGAACACCGGUGGCGAAGGCGGCGACCUGGGUAGAUACUGACGCUGAGGCGCGAAAGCGUGGGGAGCAAACAGGAUUAGAUACCCCUGUAGUCC